rnacentral:tRNA from 1 species
GCGGACGUACCGAAGUGGUUAAACGGGCAAGCUUCAGGAGCUUGUUGCUUAGUGCAUGCGCAGGUUCGAAUCCUGCCGUCCGCA